rnacentral:tRNA from 1 species
GGGCUGGGGCUCAGCGGGAGAGUGCUCACCUAGCACGUGUGAGGCCCUGGGUUCAAUCCUCAGCACCACA